UACGGGGGGGGGCAAGCGUUGUUCGGAAUUACUGGGCGUAAAGGGCGCGUAGGCGGCCUGCUAAGUCAGACGUGAAAUCCCUCGGCUUAACCGGGGAACUGCGUCUGAUACUGGAUGGCUUGAGUUUGGGAGAGGGAUGUGGAAUUCCACGUGUAGCAGUGAAAUGCGUAGAGAUGUGGAGGAAUACCGAUGGCGAAGGCAGCCCCCUGGGAUAACACUGACGCUCAUGCACGAAAGCGUGGGGAGCAAACAGG
rnacentral:rRNA from 1 species